rnacentral:hammerhead_ribozyme from 1 species
AGCCGAAACGCUCCCAGUGUGGAGCGUCCACAACGAUUCGCCCCGUUGUGCUGAUGAUGGCAGGCGAGA